GAAAGCGUUGCCUUCAUAAGUGAAGUGAAUCAUCAAAAUGCCACAAUUUCUAAGACUAAUAAUUUCCACAUGUAUGCUUCAUGUAAUCCCUUGUUGCCUCCCUACUCAAAGGAUUUGCUGAAACUUAGCUUUAUUAAAUGUGUCCUAUAUAUACUCUAAAUCUUUAAUUUUGUCAGUAUUAUUGUUCCUGCAAGAAAACAAAUCCAGAUCUCAGAUACCUAUGAGGAAUUUGCUUAUAUAGUGAGAGACAAUUUUGACAAUAAUUGAGGACAAUAGUCCUCUGCUAUGUGGAGGUCAUAAUGCAUUCACAGGUCCUUGAGAUAGUGUCUCAUAUUUCUAUUGUAAAAAAAUUGUCCUUUGUCUCAUUGUUGUCUAUUUUAUUUUCCCAACGGUUUUACAAUCAAUUGAAGGACUAAAAGAGGAAGAGCACAGUAUCCUAAUGUUGGCAAUAUAAGUAAUGGAAUAUCCGACCAAACAGGAGACUAUUAACUAUGACUUAGAAACAAAAGAACCAUGUAUCCAGCAAAAUGACAGAGUUAUGGAGUAGUAGAUUAGAUACAAGCAGCCGACAAAAGAUACUCACAUGGUCCCCUGUCAAUUCUACUAUCCCUGAGUCUCUGAGAAUAAUUAAUCCCAUUUUUGUCUUAUAUGAAUUUUUUAAGACGUAUUAGACAACUGUCCAUAAUAUGCAUGCCUGUGGAUAGACUUAGCUGGAACUUGGAGAUAUUGUGAAAAGUAGACAUAUGCUAUCCUUACUAUAUGGAAACUUGGUAUUAUAGACAUUAAUGAAGUCCCUGCUACAGUUGAAACUCAGUUUGGUAAGGUUAAAUGGGUGGAAGUGUGUGUGUGUGUGUGUGUGUGUGUGUGUGUGUGUGUAUGUGUGUGUGUGUGAAGGGAAAUGUUUGAGAUAUAGCAGAGAAGACGAUGGAAAAGGAGAGCAGGUAGAAGAGAAUGACCCUAAAAAUUGAAUGUAUUGGGAGAGAAUGUUGGUUUGGUAUUAUCAACCUCAUGAAAAUGGGUGAAUGGGGUAGAUGGUUCCUAAAUUAAUGAACAGCCUUUAUCUGACCAUCCUCUAUAAAUGACUGAUGAAUUUGGUUUGAUCAUAGAUAUGGGAGAGCCAGCAGUGUGUAAGGUGGUCCCCUUGAGGAUAUCAAUAUAGGUUUUAUAAUAAAGUAAGCUAUAGGAAAGAUAGCAUGGUCUCUACUUCAGUUCCUGCUCCCACGUGCAUGUCUUGAAUUGAAAGUUUGCUUCUCAAGCAUGAUAAAUUUGAAACUUUAGUUUAUACUUCUCACGUUGCUGUUGCUUAGAACUUUAUGGAACAUUAAUAAAGCCAUCGAGGACACAGAGACAGUUUCUCUACUGACUGAAUAGUAGAGCUUUUUUUAGGGUGCUUACCCCUUGUAUUAAACAUGUGUUUUAAGUAAUAACAAAUUCUAGAAGUUUACACUGUAACAAAGAAGCAGAUUUAUAUAAAUUUAUUCAUGAAGUGUCUCGUUAAGAGAAAUGACUCAAAUCUUAUAUUGCAUACAUUUUUAUGUGCUUAUCUCAAGGCAAAUAUUGAAAAACCUGAACAGCUGAGUGGACAUCUUCAAGGAAGUUGUAGGAGCCAGAGGUCUGCAAACAGUAAGGGAUUACUGUACUGUUCUUCAUGUGUCACUAUUAAACUGAUAUUUCAAUGGGUACCCACACAAUGUCAGAUUGCAAAAUUUCACAAUAUUAGUCAUAAUUACUUUUUGUGAUACCACGAUAAUUUUAUUUAGUAUACUACCACUGGAUAGGAGUAAAUCAGAUUUCUUAAUUUAAUGAUGUAUCUAUUGGCAUGAAAGUAGCUGACAUUUUGUACUUUUUAUGUGGAUUUAUAUAUGACGUAGGAUAAUAUUGUGUUCCACUAAUGACCCUUUAUUUUUUCAUCAAUGGUGAUAUAUAUUACCUAGACAGUAGUCUCAAUGUAACUAUGUUUAAAUGCUCCAGUAAAUAUUUGUAUAAAAUCUUUCUAUCAGAUACUUUUACUUUCCAAAUCCCAAGUCGCAGAGGGACU
ensembl:lncRNA